rnacentral:lncRNA from 1 species
CUGGUAAAAUAUUUUAAAAAGAAAUUUAUUUUUAAAACUUUAAUUGACAGGUUAUCUGGUCAAGAUUGAAAAUGAACUAUUUAGAACAUAUAUUGGUAACUAUAUAUUGAAUCAUUUUAUGGUUAUCCUUAUUUUCUAGGAAUACUAUAUUAAAUAUUAUUGAGAAAAUGCAAGUAAAGUAAUAAAUAAUUGACAUUUCUACUUUGAACAUAGUUCCAUU